rnacentral:tRNA from 1 species
UCUUUCUUAGGUUAAUGUGGUAAACUGUCGGUCUGUGGAGUCGGAGAUCUUUUGAGAAGGAAGUG